GUCCUCUUGCUUAUUUUGGAGGUCAGACCUGCCCAGUGAUAAUUUUAACGGCCGCGGUAUUCUGACCGUGCAAAGGUAGCAUAAUCAUUAGUCUUUUAAUAGAAGGCUGGAAUGAAAGGUUUAACGAAACAUUAGCUGUCUCAUUUUUAUUUUUUGAACUUAAUUUUUGAGUUAAAAAGCUUAAAUUUUUUUGUAGGACGAGAAGACCCUAUAGAGCUUGACAUUUAAUUUUUAAUGUUAUUUAGGUUAUUUAUUUAUAUUAUUUUGUAAAUGUUUGGUUGGGGUGACAGAAAAUAUAUAAUUAACUUUUUUGUUAUAUAUACAUAAAUUUAUGGGUUUGUGAUCCAUUAUUAUUGAUUGUUAGAUAAAGUUACCUUAGGGAUAACAGCGUAAUCUUCUUUUGGAGUUCUUAUUUGCAAGAAGGGUUGCGACCUCGAUGUUGGAUUAAGAUAAUGGUUUGGUGCAGUAGCUAAAUUAAUAGGUCUGUUCGACCUUUAAAUUCUUACAUGAUCUGAGUUCAGACCGG
rnacentral:rRNA from 1 species